rnacentral:lncRNA from 1 species
GGUUGCGAUCAUACCAUCAUUAAUGUACCGGAUCCCAUUAGUACUCCACAGUUAAGCGUGCUUGGGCGAGAGUAGGAUUAUGAUCGGUGACCCCCUGGGAAGUCCUCAUGUUGCAACCCUUUUUUAUUUGUUUUUAUUUUUUUUGGUUAUAUAUAUAUAUAUAUAUAUAUAUUAAUCAUAGAUUCACUGGGCGCAAGUGGCCAUGUUCUUUGGAACGAGACUACGGGGGCCGGAGGCGUGAUAGCCUAAGGAAUACGGGAGUGACUGACUUUGUCUAAGGAAUGGCCUUGACACAUGCGCGCGGGCGAACGACGCCCACAAGACUCGUAACGGAGGCCAUACAUAGGAGCCCAGAUGUGCAUGAGAUCAAGGCAUGGAAAGGUAUAAAGAAAUAAGGAGAUGGUAGUCUUUCGGUUGCGAUCAUACCAACAAUAAUGCAACGGAUCCCAUCAGAACUACGCAGUUAAGCGUGCUUGGGCGGGAGUAGUAGUAGGAUGGGUCACCCCUGGGAAGUCCUCGUGUUGCAACCUU